rnacentral:misc_RNA from 1 species
UUACAGCAUUCAGAUAAUCGAAACAUGUACUCCGUCCGCCCUUACCUACCUCGGCAAUAGAUAAUGACACGAGAUGAUUGUUAAAAAAAGACCAAAAGACAAAAGCCAUUCUGUACACGUACAAGCUUUUGGAAGGACAUAAAUCAGAAGAGACUACCCGUUCACAUUUACAGAUAUUAUAAGGGGAAAUUCCUCAGACAAAGAUACAGUUCGCCAAUUGAUUGCCCUCUCAGGACUUGAACCAGUGACAGCUCCACCAUGAACCAACUUUACAAACACUAUACCUACUGCAGAUGUUCCCAAAUAUGUACAUUUGAAACCCUUUCAGAAAAUUG